CCUAGUUUCAAUUAAUCUCAAUUUGCCUUAAUUAAUCUUAAUAACCCUCAAUCGUACCUCUCUCAUCUCUCUCAAACGGAAGCCGCCGGGAAUCGCCUCCGCCGCGCUGGAGGCGGCGGAGCGCGACAUCUCACUUAACCAGACAUCAAUCCCCGCUCUCCUUCUCACCCUAAACAAUAAAUCCUACUCUAAUUUCUUGUCAAAAAUGCCUUAUCAUCUCAAAGCAGAAAAAGGGAAGAUUCAAACCCUAAGCUCUAAAUCGGAUCCAAUCACGAACCCUAACACCUAAUAGUGAAAUCAAACGGUAUAUACAUGGGAUCCUAACUCAAGACGUUAGGGCUUCUACUCAGGGAAGAUGAGACUACCACUAAGCAUCGAAGAAACGUGAAAAGAUGCGAGAAUGAGGGAUUAAGGCUUACCGAUAGUGGCGAUUCUUCAAGUUGUGCGUAUGGAAAGAAAAUACCAGAGGUAACUUCAAGCAGGUAGCAGUUCUGACUUUGGUGAUGACAUAUAGACGUUUUCAACUCACGGGCUCAUGGAUUAUGUAGCUGGUUAAAGGCGACCAUAUGGAGAGCUUUGCCGGGUCUGAACGUGUCUGCUAUUCUUUUGACUUGGCUUGAUUGACCAUUGGAUGUCUUGAACAUGUAUGGUAUUAAUGUUGCAGUGCUGCAAAUAGAAAUGGAUAUGAAUAUGUGUAUGGAUUGCAUUUGGUUUUGGAUUGACAUGGAUUGUAUUGUAUGGUUGCUUUUGGCUGCAGGUUGGAAUUGAUUUCUUAUUUUGGAAAUGCUUUUAGUUGAUUCAACUUAUUUGUGGACUAUUUUGGUUGUGUGAUGUAUGUAUUGUUGCAGGUAUAUGGUGCAGUUGAUUUAAUAGCCAUCAAGACAUGCAUUUGCUUGAUCAUGUGGCUAGGUGGUAACACAAUGAAGGUGAAGUGGAAUUGGGUUGAGGGAUGAAAAAGGAAGUUUAGAAGUUUAGGUUUACGGUCAAACUACGAAGUAUUUUUUUUGUGAUGUAAUCAAAAGUUUUUUUUUUAGUAAUGGACUAUGACUCAUGUAGUAGAAUAGGACUUUUGGAUAUGGUAUGAACAACAAAUACUGUAAUGGGGUAUGGAUUGGGUUUUUUUUUUUGUAGUGAACAUGGCUUUGUAUCGUGACUUGAAUAUGUAUAUAUUUUGGCUUCUUAAAAAUGUAAUAAUCCAAAUGUAAUUCAUUCCCUUCGAUAUAAAUUUAUUUGAAAUUCUAAGCUUUAA